rnacentral:rRNA from 1 species
GCGAGUCUUGUAGCAUACAAGGCGGACGGCUCAGUAACACGUAGUCAACCUAACUCGUGGACGUGGAUAACCUCGGGAAACUGAGAAUAAACCACGAUAGAUCAUAGUGCCUGGAAUGGCUUAUGGUCCAAACAGUUUACUGCCAUGGGAUGGGACUGCGGCCUAUCAGCUUGUUGGUGAGGUAAUGGCCCACCAAGGCGAUUACAGGUACGGGCUCUGAGAGGAGAAGCCCGGAGAUGGGUACUGAGACACGGACCCAGGCCCUAUGGGGCGCAGCAGGCGAGAAACCUUAGCAAUGUGCGAAAGCACGACUGGGUCAGUCCGAGUGAUUCCUGAUAAAGGAGUCUUUUGCUUGUCCUAAAAGCACAGGUGAAUAAGGGGUGGGCAAGUCUGGUGUCAGCCGCCGCGGUAAUACCAGCACCUCGAGUGGUCAGGACGUUUAUUGGGCCUAAAGCAUCCGUAGCCGGCUCUGCAAGUCUUCGGUUAAAUCCACCUGCUCAACAGAUGGGCUGCUGGAGAUACUACAGAGCUAGGGAGUGGGAGAGGCAGACGGUAUUCAGUGGGUAGGGGUAAAAUCCUCUGAUCCAUUGAGGACCACCAGUGGCGAAGGCGGUCCGCCAGAACACGUUCGACGG